GGGCAGCUCUGCAGGACCCUCACCUUUUGAAGCCCCCCAGAAGACCUACCCAUUUGGCAAUAUGGGCAAGGAGAUUUCUUACCGUAGGAUACUGCACACUCUACUCCUGUAAAGGAUCUUUCAAUAAGCACCUCCUACUCGAAUGAUCCUAAUUUGAAUAUGUCAUUGUAUCCUUAAUGAAACCAUCUAUGGAUUUUAGAGAAUUCUGGGGUAAAGAAGAAAGAAUGUAGGAAAGAAACUCCUUAUGAGCCGAGUAAGAAGACAGUCUUUACUUACUCAGAUGGAAGAAGACAAUAGUAUAAUUGGAGGCUGGACGAAAUUGGAAAAGAACUAGAACAACUGCUAAAGAAAAUGCUUUAGGAAGUCAGUUAAUGAUGAAUAAAAGGAUAGCAGAACAGCACGGAAGGCCUAAUUGUGCCAAACUCAGUUGGCUAGCUCCUCUGAAUUUUUCUAGCAGUGCUUAACAGAAUAUUAAGAGGGUUGUUAACACAAAGCAAAGCAAAAUAAAGCAAAGCAAGAGAGGUAGGGUUUAACUAAACUGAAAAUGAUGGGAGAUUGAGAAGUCCUGGCAGCCAAAUAAGAGCUAAACAGCGCUAAGAAGAGUCACAAACAGGCCAACAGAGGCUGCCAAAGGGAGAGAAGUUAUGCUGAGAAGAUGCUGAUGAGCAGUCUUUCACUUUUCGUCUAUUUAUAUGAAGUGUCCAUCAAACCAACUGUUCAGCAUGCCUGAUAGCAAAAGACAGAGUCUCACUAUGCAGUUCAGGCUGGCCUUGAGGAGCUCACUUUAUAAUCCAGUCAUUUUAAGGAGGAUUCAUUUGAUUAAAGCUUGAGAGGUAAGACAGUGACGAGAAGAUGAAUUUUAAUUUGUGGAGUCAAGAAAGUCUUGUCAUUUACAGCACUCUCUAGGCUGAGGUGAUGAGGACCCUUGAUUCUAAGCAUUUCCGCUCUGCCCAUCAUUUAUCAUGAGUGAUGGGGAGUUGGUGCAACACCCAUUUUCCAAGGAAAGGUGACAUGCUCAUGAACGAUGCUGUCUGUCAACAAACAGAGGAAGAAACGUCUGACGUGAGCUCUUAUGUUAGCUGUGCUGCAUGGUUGGAGAGGGAAGCAUCAUUUAUUGAGCUACUCUGAAGGCAGUGCUAAGCAAUCACUCAAAAUACCAUCCUAUCAGUGUCAGGAUAAAGCUUGGAUAUAUUGAUUGUGUUUUGUGCUCAGCUUUCCAUUCUGAGAAAGAAGACAGUCUCCUUAUGCACACCCUUUUUUCAAGAUAUGUUUCUAUUACCUGGAAGAUGGAAAGAUUGCUUACAAACAUUUAUUUUCUACAACUGGGUUUUCUGGGGGAAAAUUACUAGUGAAUUAUUUAAACAGCACCAGAAAAUAAAAGUGUUGUGGUUGAAUCGUGCCCCUCCCCACCCAAAAAAUGUUGUAGUUCUAACCUCUCAUGCCUGUACCUAUGAAAUGGAGCUAAUUUUCAUAUAGAAUCUUGAGUAAUCAAGAUAAAUUGUAUCUAUUUAGAGUGCACCUUAGUCCAGUGACUUAUGUCCAUGUGUGUACACAAAGAUGCAGAAACACAGAGGGAGCAAAUUCUGUGACAACAGAGGCCAGAGCUGGAGUGACUCAGAAGCUAGUUAAGAGAUGCAAAUGAUUCCCUGCAAUCCACAGAAGCUAGGAAUAAAGAAAGGUAAAGAUUCUCUCUCAGAGAUCCUAGAAGGAACCAGUCUAACCAAUAGCAUGAUAUGUAUGUUCAGCCUCCACAACUAUGAGAGAAUCUAUAUCUGGGAUUUUUGAUAAUUUCCUAUGAGAACUUUAGAAGACUAAUUCAAAAAGAGAGCCCCAUGAGUAUGGAGAUUAGCCUGGGUCUGUAAAACGACUAUGCCUCAAAGAGAAGAGAAAAUCAAGAGCAGAAACUCUGAUACCUCUGUUGCUUAUUUCUCUCUGUGUGAAGUCACAGUUUGCAUAAUUUUUCUAAGGCUUAUUCUCCUCUACAAAGACAGAAGGAAAUUCAUUUGAGCUAUCAUAGAGCUCAAUAUAAAAUAUCUUUUAUUCUUGCAAUCAGUGUCACUAUUAUCAGCAUUGCCACUUCUUGAAGUCAUGAAGAGGGGAGCUGGCAUCAAGAGCAAUGUUCAGAGAGAUUUGACCAAGUUGUGGUCUUUGUGAAACAGAGACCAGACCCUUAACCCAGCUAAGCCAUGGAAAACACAAUGACCCCAGAUCAGCUAGAGCAUGCAUCUCUAUUAGGGAACAAAAUAUUUCUCAGGUAGAGUAGCUGUCAACCAUCCAAUCUUGUCAAGGUAAGAUGUCAUGACUGGGCCAUAUCCAUCUCCUGUCAGCCACUUGGCAGACAUGAUCAUUACCACUUCCAGGGAUCUCGGGUCAUACCACCAUUUCUAUAAAACUGCUCCAUAAAUAGAAAUCUAUUUUUACAGUCUUUGUAACACAUACUCUCAUGUAAUGAUCAUCCCAUACUAUUAUAGUAGGUAAAGGUUUGAGUAUGAGAUUCCAUCUAAAGGCAGUAAUGAUUCCUUUCAAAUAUUCACUUUGUUACGCAUCACUUGUAAGGAGAAUUUAGAUUGUCUCCAAGAUUUAACUAUUAAAAAUCAUGCAGCUAUAAACAUACUUACUCAUAUAUCACUCUGGUGUGAUAUUUUUAAUUUUCCCAAGAAGAUAUCAAGAAGGGUAAUAGCUGCAUCAAAUGGAACCUGUAAUCUUAGUUUUUUGAGGAAUCUCCACACUAAUUUCCACAGUGGUUGCACCAGUCUACACUCUCACCAACAGUGGAGAAGGGUUCCUUUCUCUUCCACAGCCCUGCCAGCAUUUGCUAUUGGUUGAUUUCUUGAUGACAGACAUUCUUUUUGGAAUGAGAUCGAAUCUCAGUGUUUUUAAUUUGCAUCUCUAGAGUGAUCAGUAAUAUGGAGCAUUUUUCAUGUAUUUAUUUGCCAUUUGUAUUUCUUGAUCUGAGACAUGUGCAUCUAUCUCAGAUACUCAUUUUUGGAUUGAGUCUUUGAGUUUGUGGGGUCUGAUUUUUUUAAAAUUCUUUAUGUGUUCUAAAUAAGAUAUUGUCUUUUUAUACAAUGUAGUACUACUCACCACAAAGAUGAAUAAACUUCAGACAUUUAUAGAUAAAUGGAUGCAACUGGAGACCAUACUUGCAAGUGAAAUAAAUCAGACUCACAUGUGUAAAUAUCUUUGUAUUAUCUCCCUAGGGUGAGAAACUGAAAGGAUAAUUAAGUACCAAAAUGUACAAUAGAUAUCAGGAAGAAAUUGUUCAAAAGGAAAGAGUAACUAGGGUGGGGAAAGGGAAAGGAAGAAAGGAAGAAGGAGAAAAAUUCAAGAGAGUUAUGCUAUUAGUGUCUCUUAGCUCACUGAAAGGGAGAAUUUGUGCUAAUAUUGUUUGGAGAAAUUUUUAUGCCUGUAUCUUAUACUCUGAGUAACUACCUUUAAGAAAACAAUUCACAAUGUAUUAUCUAUUGGUAUUCUCCUAUUAUUUUAGUUUGAAAUUUUAUCUUAUUUUUUCUAUAAAAUAAAAAAUUCUUUAAAAA